AUAACAGCUGGAAACGGUUGCUAAUACCGCAUGAGCCUCUUUUGUCGCAUGACGGGAGAGGGAAAGAGAAAUCGGUGAGAGAUGGAUCCGCGUCCGAUUAGCUAGUUGGAGGGGUAACAGCCCACCAAGGCGACGAUCGGUAGCCGACCUGAGAGGGUGGACGGCCACAUUGGGACUGAGACACGGCCCAAACUCCUACGGGAGGCAGCAGUGGGGAAUAUUGCACAAUGGGGGAAACCCUGAUGCAGCAACGCCGCGUGAGUGAGGAAGUAUUUCGGUAUGUAAAGCUCUAUCAGCAGGGAAUAGAAAAGAAGGUACCUGAAAAAGAAGCCCCGGCUAACUACGUGCCAGCAGCCGCGGUAAUACGUAGGGGGCAAGCGUUAUCCGGAUUUACUGGGUGUAAAGGGAGCGUAGACGGAAAGGCAAGUCAGAAGUGAAAGCCCAAGGCUCAACCAUGGGACUGCUUUUGAAACUGUCAAACUAGAGUACGGGAGAGGUAAGAGGAAUUCCUAGUGUAGCGGUGAAAUGCGUAGAUAUUAGGAGGAACACCAGUGGCGAAGGCGUCUUACUGGACCGAAACUGACGUUGAGGCUCGAAAGCGUGGGGAGCAAACAGGAUUAGAUACCCUGGUAGUCCACGCGGUAAACGAUGAAUACUAGGUGUUGGGGUAAAGAAACCUCGGUG
rnacentral:rRNA from 1 species